rnacentral:ncRNA from 1 species
UCAAGAGGAUCAGGAAAUUAUUGCAUUGUGAUGGGGAUAGACCAUUGAAAUUAGUGGUCUUGAAUGAGGAAUUCCUAGUAAGCAUUUUUCAUCAUCUCAUGUUGACUAUGUCCAUGCCCUUUGUACACACCACCCAUCGAUCCUACCGAUUGAAUGAUCCGAUGAAGUGUUUGGAUCGCGUCAACGAGGGUGGUUCAUCACCGACGAUGUCGCGAGAAGUUCAUUGAUCCUUAUCAUUUAGAGCAAGGAUAAGUCGUAACAAGGUUACCGUAGGUGAACCUUCCAGAUAUUUA